rnacentral:tRNA from 1 species
GGUCACGUAGCUCAGCUGGAUAGAGCGCCUCCCUCCGGAGGAGGAGGUCGUGGGUUCGAAUCCCGCCGUGAUCA